CCUUCGGGUGGCAGCAGUGGGGAAUAUUGCACAAUGGGGGAAACCCUGAUGCAGCAACGCCGCGUGGGUGAAGGAGCGUUUCGGCGCGUAAAGCCCUGUCAGCGGGGAAGAAGAAAGACGGAACCCGACCAAGAAGCCCCGGCUAACUACGUGCCAGCAGCCGCGGUAAUACGUAGGGGGCGAGCGUUAUCCGGAAUUACUGGGUGUAAAGGGUGCGUAGGCGGGCUUUUAAGUCAGCGGUAAAAAUUCGGGGCUCAACCCCGUCCGGCCGUUGAAACUGGGGGCCUUGAGUGGGCGAGAAGAAGGCGGAAUGCGUGGUGUAGCGGUGAAAUGCAUAGAUAUCACGCAGAACCCCGAUUGCGAAGGCAGCCUUCCGGCGCCCUACUGACGCUGAGGCACGAAAGUGCGGGGAUCGAACAGGAUUAGAUACCCCAGUAGUC
rnacentral:rRNA from 1 species